rnacentral:rRNA from 1 species
GUAGGUGGCAAGCGUUGUCCGGAAUUAUUGGGCGUAAAGCGCGCGCAGGCGGUUCUUUAAGUCUGAUGUGAAAGCCCACGGCUCAACCGUGGAGGGUCAUUGGAAACUGGAGAACUUGAGUACAGAAGAGGAAAGCGGAAUUCCACGUGUAGCGGUGAAAUGCGUAGAGAUGUGGAGGAACACCAGUGGCGAAGGCGGCUUUCUGGUCUGUAACUGACACUGAGGCGCGAAAGCGUGGGGAGCAAACAGGAUUAGAUACCCUGGUAGUCCACGCCGUAAACGAUGAGUGCUAAGUGUUAGGGGGUUUCCGCCCCCCUUAGUGCUGCAGCUAACGCAUUAAGCACUCCGCCUGGGAGUACGGCCGCAAGGCUG